rnacentral:rRNA from 1 species
GACGAACGCUGGCGGCGUGCUUAACACAUGCAAGUCGAACGGAAGGGCCCGGCUUUUGGGGGUUGCCCGGGUGGGAACGGGGGAGGAACCACGUGGGUACCCGGCCCUUGCCUUGGGGAUACCUCAGGGAAACGGGGCCUAUUCCCGGAAAGGAGCUCCUCCGCCUGGGGGGGGGUUGGAAAGUUCGGCGGGUGGGGCUGGACCUGCGGCUUAUCCGCUUGUUGGGGGGGUAGGGGCUUACCAAGGCUUUGACGGGUAGCCGGCCUGAGAGGGUGACCGGCCACAUUGGGACUGCGAUACGGCCCAGACUCCUACGGGAGGCAGCAGUGGGGAAUAUUGCACAAUGGGCGGAAGCCUGAUGCAGCAACGCCGCGUGCGGGAUGACGGCCUUCGGGUUGUAAACCGCUUUCGCCUGUGACGAAGCGUGAGUGACGGUAAUGGGUAAAGAAGCACCGGCUAACUACGUG